UUUUUUUUUUUUUUUUUUGGAGAGACAGGGUUUCACCAUGUUGUCCAGGCUGGUCGCGAACUCCUGGGCUCUAGUGAUCUUCCUGCCUUGUCCUCCCAAAGUGUUGGGAUUACAGGCAUGAGCCACCACUCCAGGCCCCAAGUCUGUUAAUUUAAACCAUAGGGAUAUACCUCAGUAUUUUUCUUUCUCUUUCUUUCCUUUUUUUUUUUUUGAGACAGAGUUUUACUGUGUCGCCCAGGCUGGAGUGCAGUGGUGUGAUCUUGGACAUUUAAACUGAGAUCCAAAUGACAAGACAAUUGUAGGAGGAUCUGAGGAAAAUUCCCUGGUAGAAGGAACAGCAUGUGCCAAGUCCACGAGCCUGCAGCAAUUUUUCCCCUAUCUAUAGGUCCACAGAUCCUUUUGGUUAUCUACCUACCUACCUACCUACCUACCUACCCACCUACGUACCUAUCUAUCAUCUGUCUGUCUAAUUUAUGAGAUAGGUCUUACUAUGUUGUCCAGGCUGGUCUUGGACUUCUGGGCUCAAGUGAUCCACCCGCCUCGGCCUCCCAAAGUGCUGGGACUACAGGCGUCAGCCACCUUGCCCGGCCUUUCUUUGCCUUUUGAUGCAGAGGCUUGAGGAGCCCAAAGUGAUUGGAUGGCAGUCUUAACUUCCAGUUCAGUGGGAUCAUUGCUGUGUUUCCAGAUUGGAAGCAUUCUUCCAUUGGAACUACAACCUCUAGACCAGUAGAGGUUAAAGUAGUGACAAUUUUGCUAGUGAAUCACUAGGGGUAAUGGUGAGUGGUGUCACUAAAUUUCCACUCCUUGAUUCUUGGGCCUGCAAACCUGGCUAUGGGAGAAACAGCACCAUAUUUAGACCACAUAUAGCUUCCUGGAGGACACUGCCCCAGUCCUGCAAGGUAUUGCCAUGUAGUUGGUCCUGUAACUUGUUUCCAAAAUGCCAUUCCUCUGUUCCGUCACAUCAGUGGCUUUAUGAGGGACACACUAUGCUAAGAUCAGUACAUUCCAUCACCAUGGGCCCAUCGCCACAUGUCAUCGGCUAUGAAGUGAGUUCUCUGGUCAGAAGCAGUGCUGUGUGGAUUACCAUGAUGGUGACAACCAUUCUAUAAGUCCACAAAUGGUAGUUUUGGCAGAGGCACUGUAUGCAAGAAAGGCAAAUUCAUAUUCUGAAUAAGUGUCUAUUUUACUAAGAACAAAUGCUGCCCCUUGCAUGAUGGAAGAAGUCCAAUGUAAUCAACCUUCCACCACACAGCUGGCUGAUUACCCUGGGCAGUGGUGCCACAGAGGAGACUUGGUGUUGGUCUCUGCAACAGCAGGUUGGGCACUCCCCAGUGGUUGUAGCCAGGUUGACUGUGGUGAAUGGAAGUCUACGCUGCUGGGCUUCUGCCACCAUGAGCCCACUGGACAAUGACAAGAAUGGCUGGAGAAAGAGGUUGAUUGAUAUCCACAGAAUGAGUCCUCCGAUCCCUUUGAUUAUUAAAAUCCUCUACUGAGCUCACACUUUAACGAGCAUUCACAUGAGACACAAAUAUCUUCACAUUGUUUGCCUAUAUACCUCUAUCCUUGCAUCUCUUCCCUAUAUCUUCUUGUUACAGAC
ensembl:lncRNA